rnacentral:rRNA from 1 species
UUGAAAGGGAAACGAUUGAAGUCAGUCGUGCUGGCGCGAAAUCAACCUUCUCGUCUUGAGAUCACAUGGCGUGGCGAGCCCCAAAACCGUCACGAAGCGUGAACUCUUGGUGAAAUGGAGCACUUUCGUGUCCGCUGGUUAACAUCAAUUUCGAACGUCAUAAAAAGGCUGGAGGGAUGUGGCUCCUUCGGGAGUGUUAUAACCUUUAGCGGAAUGUGGUGUUCGGGAUUGAGGAUUGCAACGAAUACCUUUAGGGCUGUUCCACCUGGCUUCUCUUUGGUAUCCUGGUGACGACAGCUUGCUGACGUCGUUAGGAUUCGCCUUUGAACAGGCUAGAGUGUGAGCAAAUUCGUUAAGGAUGUUGACGUA